GUGCCAGCAGCCGCGGUAAUACGGAGGGCGCAAGCGUUACUCGGAAUCACUGGGCGUAAAGAGCGUGUAGGCGGGUGAAUAAGUUUGAAGUGAAAUCCUAUAGCUCAACUAUAGAACUGCUUUGAAAACUGUUCACCUAGAAUAUGGGAGAGGUAGAUGGAAUUUCUGGUGUAGGGGUAAAAUCCGUAGAGAUCAGAAGGAAUACCGAUUGCGAAGGCGAUCUACUGGAACAUUAUUGACGCUGAGACGCGAAAGCGUGGGGAGCAAACAGGAUUAGAUACCCUGGUAGUCCACGCCCUAAACGAUGUACACUAGUUGUUGUGAGGCUAGACCUUGCAGUAAUGCAGUAAACACAUUAAGUGUACCGCCUGGGGAGUACGGUCGCAAGAUUAAAACUCAAAGGAAUUGACGGGGA
rnacentral:rRNA from 1 species